GAACACAGCACCCGCCUGCCUCGCCGCCGCAAUGGCCGCCGCCGCCUCCGCUGCGAGAUCCUUCCUCCGGUCCAGCGGCUCAUCGUCUCUCCGCAGCGCGGUGGCCAGAGCCGCCUCGCGUGCGGGACCGGGACCGGCUCCGCUGCCGAGGCGGAUGCCCACCUCUGCCCCCCGUGUACUCCUAAGGUCGCCGGUGGAAAUGAGCAGCGUGUGUCUGGAGUCCUUGAUGCCCAUGCACAGCGCCACGGCUUCAGCGCUCAUGACGUCGCUUCUCGCCGCCCCGGCUUGCAAGGGAUUCGGUUGGCUAUCAGAAGAUGGAUGAUUUGUCGUUACUGGAGAUCUGCAGUGAUGGUAUCUUGUCUGGAUUAUGGAUACCUCGUGAAUUUAAAGUACUUGGUU
rnacentral:misc_RNA from 1 species